GGCGGGGUAGCUCAGUGGCAGAGCUGCGGACUCAUAAGCCGUCGGUCGUGGGUUCGAAUCCCACCCCCGCCACCA
rnacentral:tRNA from 2 species